ACCUCUGGAGUAACGUAAUGGCCCUGGGACUCAUCACCGUCGUCUUCAUGAUUCUCGGCUACGUCCAGCUGCGAAGGCUCAAGAAACUCAAGUAGAGAAAACGAGAGCAAGUAGAGAAAACGAGAGCAACUCAAGAAAAACUUAGCGAAAAAGAAAAAUGAGAAGCCGUUUGUGAAAUUAUUAUUGAGAUCUAUAAUGUGUGUGACUUGGAUUAGCUGAGGAAUUUUCUGACACAGUACAGAAGGCUCAAGGAAUUCAAGUAGAGAAAAUAAGAGCAACUCUAGAAAAACUUCAGAAAGAAAGAUGGAAGCUGUUUAUGUUAUAUGUAACAUUGAUCCGUUGGAUAUGAAGUGAAAUUUUCUGACAGAAUACAGACGGUGCCUAAGUAUUAUGAAGAAGUGUGGUGAAGGAAGAGAGAUAAUGGCGGGGGGGAAAGAAAGCAUUAAGACACAAGUAAUGUACUGUCCUGUGUUUGUCGGGUCAUUCAUAACAGUGGAUGUAUCUUCAAUGCUUUGGAAGAAAAAAACCCAGUAGCCUUUAAUAAGAUAGGAGCAGCAUUAGUUCUAAAGGGCUGGUGUGUAACGCGCUUAAUUAAGAAAAGUGCAAUUAAAAAAAUUUUUUUUUGAGAAUGUGGAUUAGAUACUGCAAUUUGGAUAAGUUUGUUUACAGAUUUUCUCCACAGAAAAUGUUCUCAUCUCUGGUCGUAAAGAGAGCACGCACUUAUGGACAACAAUUUUGGAGGAUUGGAUCAAAUUGUGUCAUAUUGGCAGCUUUUGUUUCUUUAUAAAGGAAAAAAUCUUGUGGCCUCCAAUUGUAUCAAAGGUAUCAAAUAAACAAUGGGUGCUGAGUAUAGGGACAAUUUGCUCGACAAAUUCACUUUUGAAAGGUUCAGUUUUGUGGACCAGUGUGUCUGUCCUGUGCCAUAGCCUUCAUUCCUUGAUAAUUAUAGCAAGUAUUGUCCAAGAAUUCACUUGCCACACUCAAUCAGGUAAUGGCAUACUGAUUGAUAUCUCUUUGUGCUCGGCUGGAUAUUUUCAGCUAUUUUUAAAGACGUCAGUAUUUAUUUUUUGCAUGAGAAAAGAAGUUGCUAAUGCAUGAUGUAUUUUUUACUUGUUUCAUUGUUUAAUUAUGUGCUUGGAUGGUGGAGCAGGAGCUUAUGGAACUUGGUCACCAAGCUCAUGAAGUGUCAUUGUCAAUUUUGGGUCACUUUAACACUUUGCAGUCACACAGCCAGUAGUACAAAAUACCCCCAUCUGGUCACACAGCCAGCAGAGUGACUGCAAUGGACUUCUCGGUCCUGGCCUGGUGCAGAACUGUGCUAGGUGACCGGAAUGGAUAAUUUUCACAGUCGCAUUAUUUCGCCAAGUGACCGCAAAGUGUUAAGCAUGCAGUCGAUAUUGUUCAAGACGGCCACCCAUUGUGGAGGAGUAAAGUGGUUGUCCUAGGCAGCUGGUGGUCUUACACAGUGCUAUUAUAAUGGGAAAAAAAAAACACACACACAAGGGAGUGCUUUAACACUUUACCAUCAUAUUUUGCGGAAAAUCCAAAGAAACUGGGAUGUAAAAAUCACGAGAUGAGGUGGCAAAGUGUUUAGACAACAUAUGUAUGUGUUGUUUCUAUUCCCUCUUUGAGAACGUAUCAGGCACAUAUAGUAUAACACGGAUAACUCGAAUUCGCCGGGACCGGCCCUGGGAGUAGUCGGAGAGAUUUGUAGUUCGAGGGAUAUCUUACAAAGAUAAAGAAGAAGAAAAAA